UGGUGGGAGAAGACAAUCGCUGCUUAAUUUAGUUUAAGGAGAGGAAAGUCCGGACUCUACAGGGUAAGACGCCUCCUAACGGGAGGGCGGUGAAAGCCGACGGAAAGUGCCGCAGAAACAAAACCGCCACUGAUGUGGUAAGGGUGAAAACGUGAGGUAAGAGCUCACGGCUACGUUUAGUAAUAAACUAGUGGGUAAACCCCGUCUAGAGCAAGACCAAAUAGAGGAAGAGAGUUGACCCGACUCAUUAUUAUUCCCGGGUAGGUUGCUUGAGCUUAAGCGUGAGUUUAAGCCUAGAUAGAUGAUUGUCCAUGACAAAAUCCGGCUUAUGACUCCCACCAUCUC
rnacentral:RNase_P_RNA from 1 species